rnacentral:rRNA from 1 species
AUUGAACGCUGGCGGCAGGCCUAACACAUGCAAGUCGAGCGGAUGAGAAGAGCUUGCUCUUCGAUUCAGCGGCGGACGGGUGAGUAAUGCCUAGGAAUCUGCCUGGUCGUGGGGGACAACGUUUCGAAAGGAACGCUAAUACCGCAUACGUCCUACGGGAGAAAGCAGGGGACCUUCGGGCCUUGCGCUAUCAGAUGAGCCUAGGUCGGAUUAGCGAGUUGGUGAGGUAAUGGCUCACCAAGGCGACGAUCCGUAACUGGUCUGAGAGGAUGAUCAGUCACACUGGAACUGAGACACGGUCCAGACUCCUACGGGAGGCAGCAGUGGGGAAUAUUGGACAAUGGGCGAAAGCCUGAUCCAGCCAUGCCGCGUGUGUGAAGAAGGUCUUCGGAAUGUAAAGCACUUUAAGUUGGGAGGAAGGGCAUUAACCUAAUACGUUAGUGUUUUGACGUUACCGACAGAAUAAGCACCGGCUAACUCUGUGCCAGCCGCCGCAGUAA